GAUAAACGCUGGCGGCGUGCCUAAUACAUGCAAGUCGAGCGAACGGACGAGAAGCUUGCUUCUCUGAUGUUAGCGGCGGACGGGUGAGUAACACGUGGAUAACCUACCUAUAAGACUGGGAUAACUUCGGGAAACCGGAGCUAAUACCGGAUAAUAUUUUGAACCGCAUGGUUCAAAAGUGAAAGACGGUCUUGCUGUCACUUAUAGAUGGAUCCGCGCUGCAUUAGCUAGUUGGUAAGGUAACGGCUUACCAAGGCAACGAUGCAUAGCCGACCUGAGAGGGUGAUCGGCCACACUGGAACUGAGACACGGUCCAGACUCCUACGGGAGGCAGCAGUAGGGAAUCUUCCGCAAUGGGCGAAAGCCUGACGGAGCAACGCCGCGUGAGUGAUGAAGGUCUUCGGAUCGUAAAACUCUGUUAUUAGGGAAGAACAUAUGUGUAAGUAACUGUGCACAUCUUGACGGUACCUAAUCAGAAAGCCACGGCUAACUACGUGCCAGCAGCCGCGGUAAUACGUAGGUGGCAAGCGUUAUCCGGAAUUAUUGGGCGUAAAGCGCGCGUAGGCGGUUUUUUAAGUCUGAUGUGAAAGCCCACGGCUCAACCGUGGAGGGUCAUUGGAAACUGGAAAACUUGAGUGCAGAAGAGGAAAGUGGAAUUCCAUGUGUAGCGGUGAAAUGCGCAGAGAUAUGGAGGAACACCAGUGGCGAAGGCGACUUUCUGGUCUGUAACUGACGCUGAUGUGCGAAAGCGUGGGGAUCAAACAGGAUUAGAUACCCUGGUAGUCCACGCCGUAAACGAUGAGUGCUAAGUGUUAGGGGGUUUCCGCCCCUUAGUGCUGCAGCUAACGCAUUAAGCACUCCGCCUGGGGAGUACGACCGCAAGGUUGAAACUCAAAGGAAUUGACGGGGACCCGCACAAGCGGUGGAGCAUGUGGUUUAAUUCGAAGCAACGCGAAGAACCUUACCAAAUCUUGACAUCCUUUGACAACUCUAGAGAUAGAGCCUUCCCCUUCGGGGGACAAAGUGACAGGUGGUGCAUGGUUGUCGUCAGCUCGUGUCGUGAGAUGUUGGGUUAAGUCCCGCAACGAGCGCAACCCUUAAGCUUAGUUGCCAUCAUUAAGUUGGGCACUCUAAGUUGACUGCCGGUGACAAACCGGAGGAAGGUGGGGAUGACGUCAAAUCAUCAUGCCCCUUAUGAUUUGGGCUACACACGUGCUACAAUGGACAAUACAAGGGGCAGCGAAACCGCGAGGUCAAGCAAAUCCCAUAAAGUUGUUCUCAGUUCGGAUUGUAGUCUGCAACUCGACUGCAUGAAGCUGGAAUCGCUAGUAAUCGUAGAUCAGCAUGCUACGGUGAAUACGUUCCCGGGUCU
rnacentral:rRNA from 1 species